rnacentral:rRNA from 1 species
CCUACGGGAGGCAGCAGUGGGGAAUAUUGCGCAAUGGGCGAAAGCCUGACGCAGCGACGCCGCGUGAGGGAUGAAGGUCUUCGGAUCGUAAACCUCUGUCAGCAGGGAAGAACGGUCACUGUGCUAAUCAGCAGUGAAUUGACGGUACCUGCAAAGGAAGCACCGGCUAACUCCGUGCCAGCAGCCGCGGUAAUACGGGGGGUGCGAGCGUUAAUCGGAAUUACUGGGCGUAAAGCGCUCGUAGGCGGUAUGUCAAGUAAAGGGUGAAAUCCCCGGGCUCAACGUGGGAACUGCCUUUGAAACUGGCAAACUGGAGUGGGUGAGAGGAGAGUGGAAUUCCAGGUGUAGGAGUGAAAUCCGUAGAUAUCUGGAGGAACAUCAGUGGCGAAGGCAACUAGCUGGAACAUAACUGACGCUGAGGAGCGAAAGCGUGGGUAGCAAACAGGAUUAGAUACCCUUGUAGUC